CUGCGGUGAAUACGUUCCCGGGUCUUGUACACACCGCCCGUCAAACCAUGAAAGUGACCAACACCCGAAGUCCGAUUCGUCGGCCUAAGGUGGGGGGCAUGAUUGGGUU
rnacentral:rRNA from 1 species